rnacentral:rRNA from 1 species
UACGGAGGAGGCAAGCGUUAUCCGGAAUUAUUGGGCGUAAAGCGUCCGUAGGUGGCUAGUCAAGUCUGCGGUCAAAGACUGGGGCUUAACCCUGGAAAGGCCGUGGAAACUGACGAGCUAGAGUGCAGUAGGGGUAGAGGGAAUUCCCGGUGUAGCGGUGAAAUGCGUAGAGAUCGGGAAGAACAUCGGUGGCGAAAGCGCUCUACUGGACUGCAACUGACACUCAGGGACGAAAGCUAGGGGAGCGAAUGGG